rnacentral:rRNA from 1 species
AGUGAACGCUGGCGGUGGGCCUAACACAUGCAAGUCGAACGACAAAACAGUAAGAGCUUGCUCUUAUGGGUGCCGAGUGGCGGAUGGGUGAGGAAUACAUCGGCAUCUACUUUUUCGUGGGGGUGAACGAAGGGAAACUUACGCUAAUACCGCAUACGACCUACGGGUGAGAGCAGGGGAGCUUCGUACCUUGCGGGUUUGAAUGAGCCUAUGUCGGAUUGGCUAGUUGGCGGGGUAAAGGACCACCAAGGCGACGAACCGUAGCUGGACGGAGAGGAUGAUCGCCCACCCUAGAGCGUGAACAGGGACCCUACUCCUGCGGGACGGAGCAGUGUGGUAUAUUGGACAGUGGUCGCAAGUCUUAUCCAGCCAUCCCGCGUCGGAGAAAAAGGCGUUCGGGGUGUAAAGCCCGUCUGUUGGGAGAGAAACGCAGUCGGUUAAGACCCCGCUGUACUGACGGUACCUAAAGAAUAAGCACCGGCUAACUUCGUG